rnacentral:rRNA from 1 species
GUCUAUGGCCAUGCCACCCUGAAUAAGCCCGAUCCUGUCUGAUCUCGGAAGCUAAGCAGGGUCGGGCCUGGUUAGUAUUUGGAUGGGAGACCACCUAGGAAGACCAAGUGCUGUAGGUG